rnacentral:rRNA from 1 species
UACAGAGGGUGCGAGCGUUGUCCGGAAUCACUGGGCGUAAAGGGCGCGUAGGCGGUCUGCUAAGUGUGUGGUGAAAGCUCGGGGCUCAACCCCGAGUCGGCCGUGCGAACUGGUGGACUGGAGCAUGUCAGAGGCAGGCGGAAUUCCGGGUGUAGCGGUGGAAUGCGUAGAGAUCCGGAAGAACACCGGUGGCGAAGGCGGCCUGCUGGGACAUUGCUGACGCUGAGGCGCGACAGCGUGGGGAGCAAACAGG